rnacentral:rRNA from 1 species
UUAAGCGACUAAGCGUACACGGUGGAUGCCCUGGCAGUCAGAGGCGAUGAAGGGCGUGCUAAUCUGCGAUAAGCGCCGGUAAGGUGAUAUGAACCGUUAUAACCGGCGAUACCCGAAUGGGGAAACCCAGUGUGACUCGUCACACUAUCAUUAACUGAAUCCAUAGGUUAAUGAGGCGAACCGGGGGAACUGAAACAUCUAAGUACCCCGAGGAAAAGAAAUCAACCGAGAUUCCCCCAGUAGCGGCGAGCGAACGGGGAGGAGCCCAGAGCCUGAAUCAGCAUGUGUGUUAGUGGAAGCGUCUGGAAAGGCGCGCGAUACAGGGUGACAGCCCCGUACACAAAAGCGCAUGUGUUGUGAGCUCGAUGAGUAGGGCGGGACACGUGGUAUCCUGUCUGAAUAUGGGGGGACCAUCCUCCAAGGCUAAAUACUCCUGACUGACCGAUAGUGAACCAGUACCGUGAGGGAAAGGCGAAAAGAACCCCGGCGAGGGGAGUGAAAAAGAACCUGAAACCGUGUACGUACAAGCAGUGGGAGCACCCUUUUGGGUGUGACUGCGUACCUUUUGUAUAAUGGGUCAGCGACUUAUAUUCUGUAGCAAGGUUAACCGAAUAGGGGAGCCGGAGGGAAACCGAGUCUUAAUUGGGCGUUAAGUUGCAGGGUAUAGACCCGAAACCCGGUGAUCUAGCCAUGGGCAGGUUGAAGGUUGGGUAACACUAACUGGAGGACCGAACCGACUAAUGUUGAAAAAUUAGCGGAUGACCUGUGGCUGGGGGUGAAAGGCCAAUCAAACCGGGAGAUAGCUGGUUCUCCCCGAAAGCUAUUUAGGUAGCGCCUCGUGAAUUCAUCUCCGGGGGUAGAGCACUGUUUCGGCUAGGGGGCCAUCCCGGCUUACCAACCCGAUGCAAACUGCGAAUACCGGAGAAUGUUAUCACGGGAGACACACGGCGGGUGCUAACGUCCGUCGUGAAGAGGGAAACAACCCAGACCGCCAGCUAAGGUCCCAAAGUCAUGGUUAAGUGGGAAACGAUGUGGGAAGGCCCAGACAGCCAGGAUGUUGGCUUAGAAGCAGCCAUCAUUUAAAGAAAGCGUAAUAGCUCACUGGUCGAGUCGGCCUGCGCGGAAGAUGUAACGGGGCUAAACCAUGCACCGAAGCUGCGGCAGCGACGCUCAGGCGUUGUUGGGUAGGGGAGCGUUCUGUAAGCCUGUGAAGGUGGCCUGUGAGGGUUGCUGGAGGUAUCAGAAGUGCGAAUGCUGACAUAAGUAACGAUAAAGCGGGUGAAAAGCCCGCUCGCCGGAAGACCAAGGGUUCCUGUCCAACGUUAAUCGGGGCAGGGUGAGUCGACCCCUAAGGCGAGGCCGAAAGGCGUAGUCGAUGGGAAACGGGUUAAUAUUCCCGUACUUGGUGUUACUGCGAAGGGGGGACGGAGAAGGCUAUGUUGGCCGGGCGACGGUUGUCCCGGUUUAAGCGUGUAGGUGUGUGUUCCAGGUAAAUCCGGUUCACUUUAACACUGAGGCGUGACGACGAGGCACUACGGUGCUGAAGCAACAAAUGCCCUGCUUCCAGGAAAAGCCUCUAAGCAUCAGGUAACAUCAAAUCGUACCCCAAACCGACACAGGUGGUCAGGUAGAGAAUACCAAGGCGCUUGAGAGAACUCGGGUGAAGGAACUAGGCAAAAUGGUGCCGUAACUUCGGGAGAAGGCACGCUGACACGUAGGUGAAGUGAUUUACUCAUGGAGCUGAAGUCAGUCGAAGAUACCAGCUGGCUGCAACUGUUUAUUAAAAACACAGCACUGUGCAAACACGAAAGUGGACGUAUACGGUGUGACGCCUGCCCGGUGCCGGAAGGUUAAUUGAUGGGGUCAGCGCAAGCGAAGCUCCUGAUCGAAGCCCCGGUAAACGGCGGCCGUAACUAUAACGGUCCUAAGGUAGCGAAAUUCCUUGUCGGGUAAGUUCCGACCUGCACGAAUGGCGUAAUGAUGGCCAGGCUGUCUCCACCCGAGACUCAGUGAAAUUGAACUCGCUGUGAAGAUGCAGUGUACCCGCGGCAAGACGGAAAGACCCCGUGAACCUUUACUAUAGCUUGACACUGAACAUUGAGCCUUGAUGUGUAGGAUAGGUGGGAGGCUUUGAAGCGUGGACGCCAGUCUGCGUGGAGCCGACCUUGAAAUACCACCCUUUAAUGUUUGAUGUUCUAACGUGGACCCGUUACCCGGGUUGCGGACAGUGUCUGGUGGGUAGUUUGACUGGGGCGGUCUCCUCCUAAAGAGUAACGGAGGAGCACGAAGGUUGGCUAAUCCUGGUCGGACAUCAGGAGGUUAGUGCAAUGGCAUAAGCCAGCUUGACUGCGAGCGUGACGGCGCGAGCAGGUGCGAAAGCAGGUCAUAGUGAUCCGGUGGUUCUGAAUGGAAGGGCCAUCGCUCAACGGAUAAAAGGUACUCCGGGGAUAACAGGCUGAUACCGCCCAAGAGUUCAUAUCGACGGCGGUGUUUGGCACCUCGAUGUCGGCUCAUCACAUCCUGGGGCUGAAGUAGGUCCCAAGGGUAUGGCUGUUCGCCAUUUAAAGUGGUACGCGAGCUGGGUUUAGAACGUCGUGAGACAGUUCGGUCCCUAUCUGCCGUGGGCGCUGGAGAACUGAGGGGGGCUGCUCCUAGUACGAGAGGACCGGAGUGGACGCAUCACUGGUGUUCGGGUUGUCAUGCCAAUGGCACUGCCCGGUAGCUAAAUGCGGAAGAGAUAAGUGCUGAAAGCAUCUAAGCACGAAACUUGCCCCGAGAUGAGUUCUCCCUGAGACUUAGAGUCUCCUGAAGGAACGUUGAAGACGACGACGUUGAUAGGCCGGGUGUGUAAGCGCAGCGAUGCGUUGAGCUAACCGGUACUAAUGAACCGUGAGGCUUAACCUU